rnacentral:rRNA from 1 species
ACGGGUGAGUAACACAUCGGAACGUACCCAGGAGUGGGGGACAACCUCGAGAAAUCGAGGCUAAUACCGCAUACGUCUUGAGGGAGAAAGCGGGGGAUUCGCAAGGACCUCGCGCUCAUGGAGCGGCCGAUGUCGGAUUAGCUAGUUGGCGGGGUAAAGGCCCACCAAGGCUACGAUCCGUAGCUGGUUUGAGAGAACGACCAGCCACACUGGGACUGAGACACGGCCCAGACUCCUACGGGAGGCAGCAGUGGGGAAUUUUGGACAAUGGGGGCAACCCUGAUCCAGCCAUGCCGCGUGAGUGAAGAAGGCCUUCGGGUUGUAAAGCUCUUUCGGCCGGAACGAAAUCGCGUACGUGAAUAACGUGCGUGGAUGACGGUACUGGAAGAAGAAGCACCGGCUAACUACGUGCCAGCAGCCGCGGUAAUACGUAGGGUGCGAGCGUUAAUCGGAAUUACUGGGCGUAAAGCGUGCGCAGGCGGUUCUGCAAGUCAGAUGUGAAAUCCCCGGGCUUAACCUGGGAACUGCGUUUGAAACUACGGAGCUAGAGUACGGCAGAGGGGGGUGGAAUUCCACGU